AUGGAGAUAACAGGACUACAUAAAUUGGACUGAUCGUUUUUAUGCUAUAAAAUUAAUAGGUGAGUCUGCACUCCAGCCUGGGCAACAGAACAAGUCUUGUCUAUAAAAUACAAAAGAAAGAUAAAUUAGUAGAUACUGACUUUGAUACUUCAGAUAAUAAUAUUUUCGUAAACCGAAUUUAAUUAUACCCACAUUGUUACCUACAUCUUCACUGAAAAGUUCCUAGUUAUGUUGAGUUCCAUCAACACUGCACGUGUUCAAAUCUGGACAUCCAAGAGAGUUUCUCCAUGAGGGCAGUGAAACUGGUAUGUAUUCAGCAUCUCUUAACUCAGGAGGACUCCAUACACCCUGGAACACUCUGCUUUUCUGAAUGGCUUACAAUGACUCCGGCUCACUCUCCAUCCUCCUCAAACAUCUGGCCCCUGUUUGCCCUAAGUUCACUCUCUGCUCUUAGUCUAUGUUCUGAAGUCUUCGCAGAGGUGAAAAUGAGCUGUCAGACGGAUCUUCCUUCUCACCACAACGUGGAAUUUACUGUUUCAUUUAGUGACCACUCUUUCCAUAAUGGUUGAUUUCUUUUGGCCUGUUCAUUACUGUUGAUUUUCAAGGGAAUCUCAGUUGAAUCUUUACUCUUUUGCAUUUUGUCUCCAUGACAAUGUUGGGAAGUUUUUCCUCUAGCAUCAUAACAUGAUCUAGUGACCUGAGACAUUUGCAGCAAACAAUACCUACAAAUUCAGAAGCUCUUUGGUUUUCUUUCCAUGAAAAGUAAUUCUUGCUCUUCUGUGUAUGAGCACAUCCUAGCAUCCCUGUACACACCCAUGUAGAUGUCUGCAAGCCUAUGAAAUAUUCCUUGUAAAUAAAAAAAUUUAUCUCAAUUUCCCUCAAUGUUCAUAAUUCUCCUCAGGGUGAGGAAGGUAUUUCUGGAUCUGUUCAAACACAUGGCCCAGAGACCACCUGGUAGGUAGAUAGAGAGCUCACCUCGCUCUGGAUAUUGAGUCUGUCUCUUUCCCUCUGUUGUCUCACAGAAGGUCAGCCCACUUGUUCAGCUCCUAAGAAGAGAGCCCAGGUUUAUCCGGAUUAUACAACACAACCAGCUUCUGAUGACUCUCCUGUUACAACAUCCAUGGAGAUAUUUUAUGUAUUAUAUAAUACACCAAACUAAUGUGAAAUGCCCAAGUUUCAAUACUGCACACCCUAGGGUAUGUUCAUGCAAUUUAGCGGAGGAGAAAGUCUUUCAGAGACAGAUGGAUCUGAAUUGGUAAAUAUGUGGGUACGAAUUCUGGGCUUGAGUGUCAUUGUCCAGCCAUGUUUCACAGGUGUGACCUGUCAGGGAAGAACCAGAGUUCCUUGUUCUCUCAGAGGAUAGAGCUCACAGAGGUCCUCUCUGGUUCCCAGGAAAGGUAAUUUCACUAAUCUUGGUGAUGAGACUAUCCUCCAGUGCUGAUGUACCAUAGAGUUUUCAUCUGAAGCUGUCACUGGUAUCCCCAAUGUACAUCUUUUCACACAGAAGUGUUUAGAGGUCAGGCCACAUCUUCAGGAUCCCACAUUGAGAAGGAUGGAGAUAUAUUCCACUACCUUCUCCUGAGGUCUCACACAGAAUCUCAAAUUUCAAAAGGUCUCAGAAGGGCAGCUCUCAGGUGCUAUUUAAAAAUAACCCGCUUCCUGGGACAGGUAGCAUCCUUCUAACCAAGAUGGAUGUUCUGAACUACAGUACACAUUGCAUGGAUCCAGGUUUGUCUCAAUUCACUGUGAUUAUUACACUCAGCAGCUGUUUCAAUGUGUCUGAAGGGGUAAAUGACAAUUUAGGUGACCUGGGUGUAUGGUUGGUGUUAUAUGAAUCUUUAAAGGUAGAACAGUAUUGACUGUAUUCCAAAAUCUGUCCUUGAUCCAUGAUCACACUCAUUUCUCAGACCAGCUCCUUCAGCACAUUUCCUACCUGGAAGAAGAGGACUCUGGGGUUGGUGAGGGGAGGCCACAGGAAGAGAACUGAGUUCUCAGAGGGCACAGCCAGCAUCCUCCUCCCAGGGUGAGCCCGAAAGACUGGCGCCUCCCUCAUCCCUUUUCACCUCUCCAUACAAAGGCACCACCCACAUGCAAAUCCUCACUUAGGCACCUACAGGAAGUGACUACACAUUUCCUUAAAUUCAAGGUCCAGCUCACAUGGGAAAUGCUUUCUGAGAGUCCUGGACCUCCUGCACAAGAACAUGAAACACCUGUGGUUCUUCCUUCUCCUGGUGGCAGCUCCCAGAUGGGUCCUGUCCCAGGUGCAGCUACAGCAGUGGGGUGCAGGACUGGUGAAGCCUUCGGAGACCCUGUCCCUCACCUGCGCUGUCUAUGGUGGGUCCUUCAGUGAUUAUGGCUGGAACUGGAUCCGCCAGCCCCCAGGGAAGGGGCUGGAGUGGAUUGGGUACAUCGUUAGUAGUGGAAGAACCAACUACAACCCGUCCCUCAAGAGUCGAGUCACCAUGUCAGUAGACACGUCCAAGAACCAGUUCUCCCUGAAGCUGAGCUCUGUGACCGCCGCGGACACGGCCGUGUAUUACUGUGCGAGAGGCACAGUGAGGCGAGCUGAGUGGGAGCCCAGACAAAAACCUCCCUGCAGAUAGGCAGAGGGGCCGGGCGCAGGUGCUGCUCAGGGCGUGUGCUACACGCCCACAGAUCCCGAGGCCGGGUUAGGAGCAGGUGCAGGGAGGGCGGGGCUUCCUCAUCAGCUCAGUGGUCUCCCUCCUCGCCAGCACCUCAGAUGUCCCCAGGGUUCCUCUUUCUUUAUUAUCUGUGGUUCUACUUCCUCACAUCCUUGUGGCAGGCAAGAAAGGAGGAAGACAAUUUUUCUGUUUACUGUUGAGGUUUCACCAAUUACUAGGAACUUUCCUACAAGUUCCUGCAUGACUCAUUUUACCAUAUAUGGAUUCGCACCAUCUCUUGAUUUGUGUCAUCAAUCGAAUUGUGCCCUAUUUGAAAUUCAUUUACUGAAACCUUAAAUCCAAUGGAUCUAUACUGUAAUUUUAAUUAUGUAAUUAAGGUUAAAUGUGGUCAAAGUGUGAGACCCUAAUGCAAUACACUGUUGUCUUUAUAAGAAGAGGAAGAGACACCAGAGACCUCUCACUUUUCACUUGCACACAGAGAAGAGGCCAUGUGGAGAUGUAGUGCACUAGAAGGUGGCCCUGUGCAAGCCGGGAAGAAGCCAUACUACGAACCAAUUUUGCCAGCUCCUUGAUCUUCCACAUUCAGACUGCAGAAUUGUAAGAAAGUCAAUAUUUGUUGUUUAAGCCACCCACUCCUGUUGUCUUCUUAUGAAGACCCAAACUGACUGAUACCACAUAACUCUGUUAGCUCUGUCUCCUGGAGGGAGAAGCAGUCCCCUGAGGCUGGGCACUGCAUCUCUCAGAUUUCCGCAUGAAGUAGGCAAAAACAGUAGCUCUCACAUAAAAAUGUGUCAUGGCCCUGUUGGCCAUUUUUGAGCAAGGUCUCUGAAACCAGCCGUGGUGUGUGUGUGUAACAAAUGUUGUCUUUUAUCUUUUAUUUGGACAUAACAAAUCAACAAGAGGUACCAGCUGGAUGGAGACUGGCCACUGAUCAUCUUCUGUCGUCUCCUUAGUACGUCACAGAAAACCACACCAACAUCACCAACAUCACUGUUUUUCUUCAACCACCUCAAACAGAUUAUAGAAAUGAUCCCUGCAGUAUAGUCUAUUUCUUCAACUUUCUAAAUUUGCACUGAAUCUCUUCCAAAAUGGGGAGCUACAUGGGGUCUGAGUUUUGUUCCUUUCUUCCCAGUCUUCCCCAAGUACCAAGGACAGAAUAGACUUAAAAUAAAAUUUGGCUGUCAAUGCCCCCAACACCACAUCACUUUCUAAAAUCCACAUCCUGCAUCCAUCCUUCUGUGGACAACCCUCAUCGGGCUACCCAGGAAUGGCCAGAAGCUGGUAUCAGCUUAUGGGCUGAGGCCACGAGCUAUACACACGUGUGAUUUCAGUCACACACACUCUAUUGCAGGACCACACCUGUGUUCUGAGGAGCUCAGGCACAUGCUGAUCUCAGUAAUUCUCUAAUAAAUCACACCUGUCUUAUUAAUAAAGGUCCGGAUGGCCCCAUCAGCUGCAGACCAGUGGAAUAAAGCUCAUGGGUGGGCCCGUCAGGCAGAAGUCAGACAAUGGAAGGGAUGGCUGGUCACUUCCAUUUUCACUGAUGUUCCUAAUGAAUUUCAAUGGAAUAAAACAAUAUUAACUACAAAGAGACAGAAAAGAAGACUGGCUCGUCAAGGUAUUUAAGGACAAGAACUUUAUUUGGGGGGAAAGUGAAAGACAAUUCUAAAUGGAAAUCCCUAAAGCACAUACAGCAGCUGACGGAGUGGCCACUGUGCACAUGAGGACUGAGGAGACAGAUGGUAGGGUCCGUUCCUCCAAGAUGUCCCUGGGUGUGUGAUGGUUGGACUCCUCAUGCAUAUGAAUAUAAGAGCUGGACUCAGGGAGAAAAAAGGGCCAUAUCUCAUAGGAAAGGAAGAAAAAAAAAGCAGAAGGGCAUCCCUGGAGAGAGCUCAUUAGAUUUGGUGUGUUUAAGAUGAAAAUUUCUUCCAAAAAUUGUAAUUUUCUAACCUAAAUAUGAAUCUCUUCAAUAAACUGAAAAUUAACAGGAGAAUGGAGCUAGGACUUGAGAGAGGAAACAAAUCUUGAGAGAGCAGAAAGCAAAUCCACAAAAAACUGUCACAUGACAGAGGCCAGAAUGGAGCUGAUGCAGCUACUUCACUAUUCUGCAGACUUGUUGACCAUGUGGAGAAGGGACUUGAACAAAUGGGGACGUUCUCCAACCUUCCGAAUCAGCCUCCUCCUUAUGCAUGAGUAGAAAUCAUAGUUCUGGGGGUGACCUUCCAAAUUUUCCUCUCCAUACCUCUUCCCCCAGGGGUAGUGUCUUUUCCCAACCACAAUGGUUUCUCACCAGUGUCCUCAGCUUCUCCUCCAUUGUACUUACCCUGCAGAUUAAGAAUUUCUUCUGGAUGGAGAUUUUUGAGAAUUUUUUAUUUUCUUUAGUUUCUUUUGGCUCCACCACACCCCAUAGGAUACAGGUUUUAUUGGAUUUCCCCUGGAAAUAGUGGAGGUGGAUCCAGGUGUUCAACAGUCCUCGCUGUUCUUCCCUUCCUGUCAGCACCACAGGACAGCAGAUAAGGGAGAUGACUGUGGAUUUUUCAAAUUCUUGGGCAAAUCCUGCAAGGACUAGUAGAUUAACACUCUAAUACCAUUAGCACAUGCAUCC